UUUUACCCUCGUUGUUCAUUCGACCCAUCAAUUAGUCCGGAACGAUCUCUUGGGGGUUCGCAUGUUUCACAUUUCCCAUUCUUCUCGUGAAUUUCCAUUACACAAUCCGAUGAUGUAAAAUGGAUUUGGAACAGGCAGCAAACGGAUCACGGCGUCGAAAACGACCGGAUUUUGAAUCUCUACACAUGUCUACCGUGUAAGAACGCGUGGGUGCCGAUUCUCGGUGAAUAGACAAGAACCGGGCCGUGCGUUAUGGUAUACGGGGGGAUGCAGGAGGAGCAUAAAUCUUGAAUCUUGUUGGCCUACUCCCGCUCUUGCUGCCGCCACUACUUGCGAGCAGAGCGAGCGCGUUAGUGCUCAGGGACUCUCAACCGGAGACCGAUACCUCGGUUUGGUCGCCACCCACAUCUUCCUCCUCCAUCCAUUCCUACGCUACACUUAGUGUCCGCAAAUCUUACUCUCUUCCUCUUACUCUAUCUUUUUCUCUUCUCUGCUGCACAGACCGAACCUCAGCGGUCGCCGACCCGGGAUCCAGACUCUUCGAGACAAAGUUCCACACUGCCGUGCAGCCCGGUGUGGAUCUUCUCAUAUUAUCUUCCGCUCUCAUCUUUCCUUCCGUGAAACAUACUCGUGCCACAUCAGGAUCCUCCGCCUGUACGGUUUCUCCGCAGAAUCAACCCGAAACUUCACAUCUGGAUGCCAAGGAGGAACCUCCAGUGAAAUUGGAAAGGAACAUCGGACCCCAGAUGUGAAGAAACUGAUGAAUGCACGGAGGUUUUACGAGUUUCGGUCUUCAGGCACUCGAGCUGAGCCAGACGUCGUUGAGCUCGCCAGGCGUCGGACUGAUUACGUCGUCGAGGAACGUAGAGAUACACCUCUGGUUUGAUUGCUCGGAGCGUUUGACAAUGGGGGGGAGGGGAGUAACGUCAACAAACAACCGCAUGAUGCCUGAGCGCCAGAUGAGAAUCUCUGCACCAUACGCGGUUUGUAGCAUGAGAAACCCACGUUGUAUACGGCACGCAUAAGCUACGUGUUCGAGAUCAGUUUCUCAGAUUUUUUUUAACCCGCUCGCUCGCUCACGGCUCUCGGCCACCGGUCGACCCUCC
rnacentral:lncRNA from 1 species